rnacentral:rRNA from 1 species
ACUCCUACGGGAGGCAGCAGUGGGGAAUUUUGGACAAUGGGCGAAAGCCUGAUCCAGCAAUGCCGCGUGAGUGAAGAAGGCCUUCGGGUUGUAAAGCUCUUUUGUCAGGGAAGAAACGGUGAAAGCUAAUAUCUUUUGCUAAUGACGGUACCUGAAGAAUAAGCACCGGCUAACUACGUGCCAGCAGCCGCGGUAAUACGUAGGGUGCAAGCGUUAAUCGGAAUUACUGGGCGUAAAGCGUGCGCAGGCGGUUUUGUAAGUCUGAUGUGAAAUCCCCGGGCUCAACCUGGGAAUUGCAUUGGAGACUGCAAGGCUAGAAUCUGGCAGAGGGGGGUAGAAUUCCACGUGUAGCAGUGAAAUGCGUAGAUAUGUGGAGGAACACCGAUGGCGAAGGCAGCCCCCUGGGUCAAGAUUGACGCUCAUGCACGAAAGCGUGGGGAGCAAACAGGAUUAGAAACCCUAGUAGUCCCAUG